UAUGUACUUGAUCUUCUUUAACAGCAAAUUUAAGUGAAGAACUGAGCUUUUCACUUUUUUUUUUUUUUUGGAAAUAUUAACCAAACUUUCUUAGAAAAUGUGUAAUUAUUUAUUGGGGAUUUUUGUUGGAAUAGGUCAAAUUAGGGUUUUCGUUUUCGAAAAAUGGCUACAGAGUCUUCAGAGUCAGAAGAAGAAGGAAAGAUUACAGGAGGAAAUCAACACUUAAUUGUCGAAGAUGACCUGAGAGAAAUGGGCAAAAAAGCAGCUUGGAGUGUCAGCUCUUGUAAAACUGGCAAUGGCGUCUCUUCUCUCCGUGACGACAAUCUCGAAACCUAUUGGCAAUCAGACGGAGCUCAGCCUCAUUUAGUUAACAUUCAGUUCCAGAAGAAGGUUAAGUUGCAACUAGUUGUACUUUAUGUGGAUUUCAAGCUUGACGAGAGCUACACACCAAGUAAGAUCUCUAUUCGAGCCGGUGAUGGCUUCCAUAACUUGAAGGAGAUUAAAACUGUGGAACUUGUCAAGCCUACCGGUUGGGUUUAUCUUUCGCUAUCCGGAAAUGAUCCUCGAGAAACUUUUGUCAACACCUUUAUGCUGCAAAUUGCUGUUCUGUCAAAUCACCUUAAUGGGAGGGAUACUCAUGUGCGCCAGAUCAAAGUUUAUGGGCCUCGACCGAAUCCAAUUCCGCACCAACCAUUCCAAUUUACUUCAAGGGAAUUUAUAACAUACUCCACUGUGAGAUAAUAAAUGUGACAUAAUAGCUGGCUUGGGGAAGAAAAGGACGUGGAAUAUGAAAUGUGGAAUCUUGACUCAGAUUGAAGAGAACUAACAUGUUGCUGAAAGCAACCAUAUAUUUCUUUAAAACUGAGUGGAGCUGCUUAUAGGAAUGCGAUAGAUAUUUGGAUGUGUCACUCUGCUACAAAUUAUUGUUUUCGUCGUAUGUUGAGGGUUCAAGUUUAAACUUCCAAGGAAAAAGAAAACAACUUGCCACGGUGGUGUGAUCAGGUUACCUUGAAAUCUUAUCAUCAUUGGAAAUAUUGAAGCUAUGAUAUAGAUUCCACAAGGUGCGAAUGCCUAUUCCUGAACUUACUGGAAGCACCGGAAUAAAAGCUAACCUAUCCAUUCUAAAGGAGUGAGACUUGAAGGACGCUUAAAAAUAUUCCAAGACUCGAGAUCCGAAAUCCAAAUCAUGUGGUAUUCGGCCUUUGCAUAUGUUAUGGUAGCUCGUUUUCUAAAAGGUUGCUGCUCCAGCUAUUGCUUUAAUAGGGCAGCUAGUUAGGGUGUGGCUUCCAUGCAAGUUGGACGUCUUAAUUGGGAAGACACUUUCAAUUCAAGGGAAAUAAUUGCAACUACCCUUACUUCAUCAAGGAAAAGCUAGCAUCAAACCCCUCAAACUUGGUGUUUUCCUAUUUGGAAUGAGUAACGAGAGCUGAAUUUGACCAGGACAGAAGCUAAAGCAGCCAAGUUGGUAUGAACGGAGUUUUUGACACGUAAAGAAAUGCCUAAGCAUUAUUUUUCUGCACCAAAGAUGAUCGGUUCCCUUUUCCUUUUCCUGUAUCUUGCACAGAAUUCACCUUGCACUUUUGGAUCUCAAUGCUUCCUUUCAAAGUAACUAGAAAGAAUUUCAAUUUGCAACAUCAAUCAAGCGAAAGUGAUCCAACAUAUAGCGUUUGGAAUGAGAACCUGAACCUUAAAAAGGAAACAUGAUUGCUUGUUUGUCCCACUCCUCUUCCUCAGGAAACAUCAGUUUGAAAGAAAAGGAAGAAUUCCGUUUAGGUCU